rnacentral:rRNA from 1 species
GCGCGGGAAGCGAGCGGAUCCCUUCGGGGUGAAGCUCGUGGAACGAGCGGCGGACGGGUGAGUAACACGUGGGCAACCUGCCUGUAAGACCGGAAUAACCCCGGGAAACCGGGGCUAAUGCCGGGUAAUACUUUUCUUCGCAUGAAGGAAAGUUGAAAGAUGGCUUCUCGCUAUCACUUACAGAUGGGCCCGCGGCGCAUUAGCUAGUUGGUGAGGUAACGGCUCACCAAGGCGACGAUGCGUAGCCGACCUGAGAGGGUGAUCGGCCACACUGGGACUGAGACACGGCCCAGACUCCUACGGGAGGCAGCAGUAGGGAAUCUUCCGCAAUGGACGAAAGUCUGACGGAGCAACGCCGCGUGAACGAUGAAGGUCUUCGGAUCGUAAAGUUCUGUUGUUAGGGAAGAACAAGUACCGUGCGAAUAGAGCGGUACCUUGACGGUACCUAACGAGGAAGCCCCGGCUAACUACGUGCCAGCAGCCGCGGUAAUACGUAGGGGGCAAGCGUUGUCCGGAAUUAUUGGGCGUAAAGCGCGCGCAGGCGGUUCCUUAAGUCUGAUGUGAAAGCCCACGGCUCAACCGUGGAGGGUCAUUGGAAACUGGGGAACUUGAGGACAGAAGAGGAGAGUGG